UACAGAGGGUGCGAGCGUUAAUCGGAUUUACUGGGCGUAAAGCGUGCGUAGGCGGCUUAUUAAGUCGGAUGUGAAAUCCCCGAGCUUAACUUGGGAAUUGCAUUCGAUACUGGUGAGCUAGAGUAUGGGAGAGGAUGGUAGAAUUCCAGGUGUAGCGGUGAAAUGCGUAGAGAUCUGGAGGAAUACCGAUGGCGAAGGCAGCCAUCUGGCCUAAUACUGACGCUGAGGUACGAAAGCAUGGGGAGCAAAC
rnacentral:rRNA from 1 species